GAGUUUGAUCCUGGCUCAGAUUGAACGCUGGCGGCAGGCCUAACACAUGCAAGUCGAACGGUAACAGGAAGAAGCUUGCUUCUUUGCUGACGAGUGGCGGACGGGUGAGUAAUGUCUGGGAAACUGCCUGAUGGAGGGGGAUAACUACUGGAAACGGUAGCUAAUACCGCAUAACGUCGCAAGACCAAAGAGGGGGACCUUCGGGCCUCUUGCCAUCGGAUGUGCCCAGAUGGGAUUAGCUAGUAGGUGGGGUAACGGCUCACCUAGGCGACGAUCCCUAGCUGGUCUGAGAGGAUGACCAGCCACACUGGAACUGAGACACGGUCCAGACUCCUACGGGAGGCAGCAGUGGGGAAUAUUGCACAAUGGGCGCAAGCCUGAUGCAGCCAUGCCGCGUGUAUGAAGAAGGCCUUCGGGUUGUAAAGUACUUUCAGCGGGGAGGAAGGGAGUAAAGUUAAUACCUUUGCUC
rnacentral:rRNA from 1 species